rnacentral:snRNA from 1 species
GGAUGUGAGGGCAAUCUGGUCUGCAACAUCUGUCACCCCAUUGAUCGCCAGGGUUGAUUCUGGCUGAUCUGCCUGGCUAGGCGGGUGUCCCCUUCCUCCCUCACCGCUCCAUGUGCAUCCCUCCCAAAGCUGUGAGCUUGGUCGAAGAGGACAGCCUUCCCCGAAUAGAGACCGAUCAGUCUUAGGUCAAGGGUAUAUGAGUAGCUGCGCUCCCCUGCUAGACCCUCCAAACAAGCUCUCAAGAAUACAAAUGUAACACUUUAAAUUUCCUUAAAAUUUCUAAUGAUAAAGAAGUAUACACACUAAAUAAUAAACAACAGAAAUAUUUAACUGCAAAGUUAAAU